GCCGCUAUCGUCUAGGGGUCAGGACACCUGAUUCUCAGUCAGGAUACCGGGGUUCGAAUCCCCGUAGCGGUA
rnacentral:tRNA from 1 species